CCGAGUUAGGGUUUUUUAUGGCCCAACCUCCAACCCCUUGUAUACUGCCGAGCGUUUUUAUGUUGCUUCGGUGGGAUAAAGUACCUGCCGAAGCCCAACAAAAAAUCUUUAUAAUGAUGUUGUCUGAGUUAAAAUAAAUAAAUAUUUA
rnacentral:misc_RNA from 1 species